GACGAACGCUGGCGGCGUGCUUAACACAUGCAAGUCGAACGGAAAGGCCCUGCUUUUGUGGGGUGCUCGAGUGGCGAACGGGUGAGUAACACGUGAGUAGCCUGCCCUUGACUUUGGGAUAACUUCAGGAAACUGGGGCUAAUACCGGAUAGGAGCUCCUGCUGCAUGGUGGGGGUUGGAAAGUUUCGGCGGUUGGGGAUGGACUCGCGGCUUAUCAGCUUGUUGGUGGGGUAGUGGCUUACCAAGGCUUUGACGGGUAGCCGGCCUGAGAGGGUGACCGGCCACAUUGGGACUGAGAUACGGCUCAGACUCCUACGGGAGGCAGCAGUGGGGAAUAUUGCACAAUGGGCGGAAGCCUGAUGCAGCAACGCCGCGUGCGGGAUGACGGCCUUCGGGUUGUAAACCGCUUUCGCCUGUGACGAAGCGUGAGUGACGGUAAUGGGUAAAGAAGCACCGGCUAACUACGUG
rnacentral:rRNA from 1 species